rnacentral:rRNA from 1 species
UACGGAGGGUGCGAGCGUUGUCCGGAAUCAUUGGGCGUAAAGGGCGCGUAGGUGGCCCGGUCAGUCUUUGGUGAAAGCGCGGGGCUCAACCCUGCGUCGGCCAGGGAUACUGCCGCGGCUCGAGCACUGUAGAGGCAGGCGGAAUUCCGGGUGUAGCGGUGGAAUGCGUAGAGAUCCGGAAGAACACCGGUGGCGAAGGCGGCCUGCUGGGCAGUUUGGCUGACACUGAGGCGCGACAGCGUGGGGAGCAAACAGG